rnacentral:rRNA from 1 species
CAGUAGCCGCGGUAAAACGAGGGGGGCAAGCGUUGUUCGGAUUUAUUGGGCGUAAAGGGUGCGUAGGCGGUUUGGUAAGUCUUGUGUGAAAGCCCCGGGCUCAACCGGGGAGGGUCAUUGGAAACUGGGAAACUUGAGUGCAGAAGAGGAGAGUGGAAUUCCACGUGUAGCGGUGAAAUGCGUAGAGAUGUGGAGGAACACCAGUGGCGAAGGCGACUCUCUGGUCUGUAACUGACGCUGAGGAGCGAAAGCGUGGGGAGCGAACAGGAUUAGAUACCCCUGUAGUCCCUGUCUCUUAUAC